rnacentral:tRNA from 1 species
GGGCGCAUAGCUCAGGGGUAGAGCGCCGGUCUUACAAACCGGAGGUCGUUGGUUCGAAACCAACUGCGCCCA